rnacentral:rRNA from 1 species
GCGGAGGGAUCAUUACUGAGUACUACACUCUCUACCCUUUGUGAACUAUUAUACCUGUUGCUUCGGCGGCGCCCGCAAGGGUGCCCGCCGGUCUCAUCAGAAUCUCUGUUUUCGAACCCGACGAUACUUCUGAGUGUUCUUAGCGAACUGUCAAAACUUUUAACAACGGAUCUCUUGGCUCCAGCAUCGAUGAAGAACGCAGCGAAACGCGAUAUGUAAUGUGAAUUGCAGAAUUCAGUGAAUCAUCGAAUCUUUGAACGCACAUGGCGCCUUCCAGUAUCCUGGGAGGCAUGCCUGUCCGAGCGUCGUUUCAACCCUCGAGCCCCUGUGGCCCGGCGUUGGGGAUCUGCCACGGCAGGCCCCUAAAACCAGUGGCGGACCCGAAGGCCCUCUCCUUUGCGCAGUAGCAUCAGCCUCGCAUUGGGAUCCCUCGGCGUCCUGCCUCUAAACCCCCCACAAGUCCGCUCCGGCGGCACCAAGGUUGACCUCGGAUCAGGUAGGAAUACCCGCUGAACUUAAGCAUAUCA